rnacentral:rRNA from 1 species
UAACACGUAUGCAAUCCACCUGUAACAGGGGGAUAACCCGGAGAAAUCCGGACUAAUACCCCAUAAUAUGGGCGCUCCGCAUGGAGAGUCCAUUAAAGAGAGCAAUCUUGGUUACAGACGAGCAUGCGCUCCAUUAGCCAGUUGCGGGGUAACGGCCCACCAAGGCGACGAUCAGUAGCCGGACUGAGAGGUUGACCGGCCACAUUGGGACUGAGACACGGCCCAG